rnacentral:sRNA from 1 species
ACCAGGCAGGGUGGUGCAUGCCUGUAAUCCCAGCAGUUUGGAGGCUGAGGCAGGAGGAUGGCAAGUUCAAAGCCAGCCUCAG